UCCCUGGUGGCCCAGUGGUUAAGACUCUGCACUUGCAAUGCAGGAAGCAUAGGUGCAAUACCUGGUCUGGGAA
rnacentral:tRNA from 1 species